rnacentral:rRNA from 1 species
UACGGAGGGGGCUAGCGUUGUUCGGAAUUAUUGGGCGUAAAGGGCGCGUAGGCGGCCGGAUAAGUCUGACGUGAAAUCCCUCGGCCCAACCGGGGAACUGCGUUUGAAACUGUCUGGCUCGAGUCCGGGAGAGGGUAGCGGAAUUCCCAGUGUAGCGGUGAAAUGCGUAGAUAUUGGGAGGAACACCGGUGGCGAAGGCGGCUACCUGGACCGGAACUGACGCUGAGGCGCGAAAGCUAGGGUAGCAAACAGG